rnacentral:rRNA from 1 species
GUGCAGCAGCCGCGGUAAUACGUGGGUGGCAAGCGUUAACCGGAAUUAUUGGGCGUAAAGCGCGCGCAGGUGGUUUCUUAAGUCUGAUGUGAAAGCCCACGGCUCAACCGUGGAGGGUCAUUGGAAACUGGGAGACUUGAGUGCAGAAGAGGAAAGUGGAAUUCCAUGUGUAGCGGUGAAAUGCGUAGAGAUAUGGAGGAACACCAGUGGCGAAGGCGACUUUCUGGUCUGUAACUGGCACUGAGGCGCGAAAGCGUGGGGAGCAAACAGGAUUAGAUACCCCUGUAGUCC